GCACGCGCACGAAUGGGAGUGCGCACGGCGGAUGCGCAGAGGCUGUCGGACUCUGACUGCGCGGAGACCGCUGGACUCUGGUCGCGGCCUUAGUCCGCUGAUCCUCGCUUGGGUGCCCGCCCUUAGCGGCCCGGCGUUGAAUUCCGGGAAGUGGGAGCUUCAGGCUCGCUCCGUGCGGGUAUGGGCGCUAAUGUCACUUGGGAUGGUUGCGCAAGGACAUCGCGGCGGACACUGACAAGGAACCGGGGAGGAACGGGGGUGGGGAGAGACUGCGAUGGGACUCGGGAAGCCGGGAAGGGCCGCGCUGAAUAAGCCUAAGGGGCCGGGUCGCAAGGAGUGUCGGGUAGCACAGGCCUCGGCUCAGUCGGAGCGCCAGGCCUCAGGGUCCGGGCGGGGGCUGCUGCGUCACACCAGGCAGCCUGGGAACGCAACUGUUGGGCAACCGUGGUGGCCUCUCGCCACCUCUUACGCUUGGGCGAUCUGCGAUUGACGCAUCCUGGGAGCUGAUGUCCCGCACGGGCGGGGCGCCGGAGGAGGAGAGAAAAUAGAGACCCGGUUGUUGACAGCCUGUGAUGCCGCUUGAUUCAUGUGUGGGUGGCCUGGUUUAGAAAUGUACCACCCUUCCUUUCUAGGUUCCUCCCCGGAGGGCGGGGUGACGGGUGCGGCGCCGAAUCGCAACAAAAAACGCUGCUCGAGGGAUGUUAGUAACUGUCUCAGCUUAAGUUGCUGCCUUUUAGCUUACAGUUUGUAUCGUAACUGUAAUUGUGGAUCUUAGUUAAAUCCCUUCAGUGUGUUGGAAACAUAUUUUUAAGUGUAUUUUUGAAACAUACUUAGAGCAUUUUGAAAUGCUUUUUUGAAAGCGUUUUUUAAAUCAAAAUUCUGUUACACUUUAUUUUUUUCAGUCUGCAGAUGAACUUGACUCACUCAAGGUUAAUGAUUUUUGUUUUUUAUUUAUGUUUGUAGAGGCGGGGUUUUGUCAUGUUGCUAGGUUGGUGUUGAACUCCUGAGCUCGAGCGAUCCACCUGCCACUGCCUUCCAAAGUGCUGGAAUUACAGGCGUGAGCCACGGCGCCCGGUGGCCGAGGUUAAUAAUAAUUAAAAGUUUCUAAUCCCAUUGUUCAGUUAUUUGAUUUGGUGUAAAGGCGCACUUUCCAAGUCAGAUGAGUUUGUGGUAACAUACAUUCCCCAAAUAAUUAUUUUUCCCUUGUGGGAAAUAUUCCAGUUUUAGGCUACCAGCUGUUUAAACAGUUUGGUUCAAAUCCUUCAAAAAAAUCUCAAAACAUAACUCCACAUAUGUAUUUACUACAUAUUGAAGGGUGUAUUCACUUGGAGAAGUAGGAGAAAGCAAACAGAUGCCAAUGGCCUUUUUGAAAACAUGUAUCUAUCAGCAAUAAUUGAAUAGCAAAACGAAGUGGAACACUACCAUCCUUUGCAAUAUUAGAUAGUUUUAAUACUGGGUUGUGAGGAAUGAAAAGAUCAUACAAAUCGUCAUUUCUGAAGUCAUUUCUGAAGUCGUCAUUUCUGAACUGAGUGCUAAUUUUUCAUAUUAAGCUUUAUGUUAAUAUCCUUAAUGAGAGGAACUUCCUGUGCCCGUAAUUUCUCCAGAGAAACUAUUAACAUACACAGAAUGUUGUAAUCAGAAGUAUAGUUCAGUUAAUAAAGUCCUCAAUUACAACUCUGACAUUUUGUCAUUGUCUUAUGAAAAGAAUUACUGUAUAUACAGUCUAUUUUACGUUUUCCGGAAGCACGUCAGGCAGGUUUUUUGUUUUUUUACUACUAAUUGUGCCAUUGAAUAUGCUAUUCUGUCGUAUUGUGCCAUCAAACAUGCUAUUCGAAAAAAGAUCUUGCCCAAUUUGUAAUAAAAUAUUGAACAUUGG